GCAUCUGUCACAAUGGUGGCCAUGGGAACCCACAUCAUGACCAACAAAUGAGGGAGGUGUUAACUCUGGUGGAAACAGUCACCUUGGAAUCGAUGUGGUCCUUGUCAGUUGGCAGAUUGAAUGGAGCCAAGCUUGCAGACACCACAAGUGGAGUCUGACAAACAGAAUCAUACACAGCCUGAAGCGAGGAUUCCUGAAAUUCCUGCUAGAUUUAAGAGAGUUAUCCAGAAGACAAGGAUGAAAUCUGUGCAUCAAUGCUUCUGCUAAAGAAUGGCAAUGUUUCUAGUGUCAACCAACGUUUGCUGGGUGCAUUUGACAGCAUUUAGUGAAUUCAGUUUCACUGUUUCUUUGAGUGUGCAAACCCUUCCCCAGACUCUACAGACUCAACUACAGCAGAAGUAAAGGUGAAAGUGUAAGACUGAAGAGGCAGCAGGUGGUAGUGUGCACAAAAAGAAAAGGAAAGGUGCAGGCCUAAGCACGGUUGGUGAUGUUGCUCUUAGGUAACACCAAUAUGAACAAGAAAGAUGAAAAAAGCAAUGAAGGCAGGAACCUAGAGGACCCACCUAAGACCAAGCAUUUUCACACACCAAAAAUAUCCAGUCAGAUGGGACUGAGAAACCAACAGCUUUAAAGUGAAUGAAACCCAGAUUGUUCCAAUUCAGCACUGCGCUUCCUCAACCCACAUAUCUGUGAGCAACAAAAAAUAACCACCAUUCUCAAAAGAUCUGCUUUCUCAUAUGUCUCAAAUUUCUGGAGAGUUAGUGGUUCAGAAGAAUUAUACUUUUUAAUUACAGAUCACC